rnacentral:rRNA from 1 species
AGUGAACGCUGGCGGUAGGCCUAACACAUGCAAGUCGAACGGCAGCACAGUAAGAGCUUGCUCUUACGGGUGGCGAGUGGCGGACGGGUGAGGAAUACAUCGGAAUCUACUUUUUCGUGGGGGAUAACGUAGGGAAACUUACGCUAAUACCGCAUACGACCUACGGGUGAAAGCAGGGGAUCUUCGGACCUUGCGCGAUUGAAUGAGCCGAUGUCGGAUUAGCUAGUUGGCGGGGUAAAGGCCCACCAAGGCGACGAUCCGUAGCUGGUCUGAGAGGAUGAUCAGCCACACUGGAACUGAGACACGGUCCAGACUCCGACGGGAGGCAGCAGUGGGGAAUAUUGGACGAUGGGCGCAAGCCUGAUCCAGCCAUACCGCGUGGGUGAAGAAGGCCUUUGGGUUGUAAAGCCCUUUUGUUGGGAAAGAAAAGCAGCAGGUUAAUACCCCGCUGUUCUGACGGUACCCAAAGAAUAAGCACCGGCUAACUUCGUG